UACAGAGGGGGCAAGCGUUAUUCGGAAUUAUUGGGCGUAAAGGGCGCGUAGGCGGCUUUGCAAGUGACGGGUGAAAUCCCUCGGCUUAACCGAGGAACUGCCUGUCAGACUGCAUGGCUUGAGACCGGGAGAGGUGAGUGGAAUUCCCAGUGUAGCGGUGAAAUGCGUAGAUAUUGGGAGGAACACCAGUGGCGAAGGCGGCUCACUGGACCGGUACUGACGCUGAGACGCGAAAGCGUGGGGAGCGAACAGG
rnacentral:rRNA from 1 species